GCCUUCGUGGUGUAGUGGUCAGCAUGCUCGACGCGUAACCGAGAAAUCCGUAGUUCAAAUCUCGCCGAAGGCG
rnacentral:tRNA from 1 species